UACAGAGGUCCCGAGCGUUGUUCGGAUUCACUGGGCGUAAAGGGUGCGUAGGUGGUGAGGUAAGUCGGAUGUGAAAUCUCCAAGCUCAACUUGGAAAUGGCAUUGGAAACUACCUUGCUCGAGGGUUUGAGGGGGGACUGGAAUACUUGGUGUAGCAAGUGAAAUGCGUAGAUAUCAAGUGGAACACCAGUGGCGAAGGCGAGUCCCUGGAAAACUCCUGACACAUGAGGCACGGAAA
rnacentral:rRNA from 1 species